GGGACCACGCGAGAAUACUGUGUGGCUGGCAGGCAGCCCAGGAAAAGAAGGGCCCAGCCAGCAGCUCGGCCGGGCCGGGCGCCACGGGGAAGAGUUUGAGUUUCACUCAACAGGCAGAGGGGAGCAGUUCUCAUAGUGCCUCAAGGAACUUGGGCAACAUUAUCAGACGCCUGUUUUGGGGGGAUUUGAAGGAUCCACUCGCUGCACCCCAACACCUGCUUCCCUGUGCGUCAGUCCCAUCCCAGGAUGAGGCCUGACCAGGGACCCUCCCGUGCUCAGGCUGACGGCUACCCACAUGUUUCAACUUUCAUCACAAUUGAUAUUCUUCCAUGUGGAGGCAACAAAGAAAAUAUAUAGUUCCCGAUACAUUGAUUUUCUCCAGAAAUUUAUUGAUGAUAUAAAAGGAAGUUAAGCAAAACAUGUCACCUUUACAGUUAUUUUAAAUAUCUUUGUGAAAUCGUCCUCUUAAAAAAGAUGGGAACGUUUGAGGGCUGAGGCAUUCCGUGAGGUGCGGGGUCUCAGUUCCCAUGCUGGGUGACACAGAAGCCAUCACAGGACACCUGUCCUCUGGAGGUAGUCAUUUUCCACGUAGAGCAAAACCUGGAAAUGCCAGAGGAUUAAGGGUCUUCUGAUUUUCUGACCUGGAAGGGCUGAUCAGACUCAUUUACAGCGACUUGAGUUGGAUACGCUGACGUGUAAACAGCUGUUGCCUAAUCAAAACCACUGGAUCCCAAGAGGCAAACAGAGAAAACUACUGUUUUGGUGCUUGUGGGAACCCAUCACAUGAUUUGAAUUCGUUGCUCUGAUUGUACAGUCAGCUGUGAAAGCCCCUGACGUGGACACGCAGGUGGGCGUGUGGGGGGAGGGACGUGGGCACAGAACAACCACAUUCUUGUUUCGGCACGACGUCGCUUUGCGGGUUUCUCCCCCAGACUAGCUCAUGUGGACAAAUGAUGUCCCCAAUGUGCAAAACCUGAGUUUGCAAAGACCCGGAAACUAACAAAAAUGAGUGGCUGGAGGAGAAAGAAAGCCUAAAUCAAUUCAACAAAGUGAAGAGGUGACAAAAAAGGACCAGUGAUGUGAAAAAUGUGAAUUUUUCAAUGUGAACAUGAAUUUCAGUGUCAACGUGAGAAAUAAUGACAUGGGAGAGAAAUGUGGGGUCUCAGCCCCUCCCCCCCCCGCCUUGGUCACACCAUGUCCUUUCUGAGCAUGACCUGUGCUCUGGACACAGGAGGCUGAAAUGCAGCCAACUGUACCCUGCCUUGUCUCUGCCUCUGAACGGCACCGACUUUUUUGUUUAUGAUGGAAAUCAGUAUGUGAAAAGAAAUCAACCUGCCAAUAUGUUCUUGUUUUUCUCCACCAGCAAGGAGCUCUGCUGAUUUUGAAAAGCCAAAAGGAACACGGGCUGCCUCUUAUAAGUAAGUCCCCCCAGGAAGUCUCACCUCUGGAAGUCAUGCUUUCUUGAGGGACAGUCCAAGCUACUUGGCUUGUCUGACCUUGCAGGGGCUUGAAAGCAAGCCCGUGGGAUGGGGUGCCCUUCUUGAGGUGCCUUGGAAGCCACGCUGCGGAGAGCGGGUCGGGCAGGCUCACGGGGUGGGGAGGAAAGUAAACCCCAGCACACUAGGGAGGUCCUUCUGCAAAAAGGGGCUGCCUGCCCGCAGAGACCAGGCACCUUCCUAGACUCUUUCACCGAGCGCCGUGACUGCCGCCUGGCUUACCUAUGCAAGUCUGCCAGUCCACAAUUACCCAGUCCCCCGGGAGUUUGGGGGGCAGAAGCAUGACAGGGUACUCUAAUUCUCACAAGCAUUUUAUUGUACUUUUUAAAAUGUAGCCUUCAUCUGUCUUCUGCCUAUGAUUCCCUCUCAUCCUGUGCCCCGUUCCACCCUGGCCUUCUCAUCUUGAAGGAAGGAAAAAUAAAUUUACAUCAAUCUUAG